rnacentral:rRNA from 1 species
AGUGAACGCUGGCGGUAGGCCUAACACAUGCAAGUCGAACGGCAGCACAGUAAGAGCUUGCUCCUACGGGUGGCGAGUGGCGGACGGGUGAGGAAUACAUCGGAAUCUACUUUUUCGUGGGGGAUAACGUAGGGAAACUUACGCUAAUACCGCAUACGACCUACGGGUGAAAGCAGGGGAUCUUCGGACCUUGCGCGAUUGAAUGAGCCGAUGUCGGAUUAGCUAGUUGGCGGGGUAAAGGCCCACCAAGGCGACGAUCCGUAGCUGGUCUGAGAGGAUGAUCAGCCACACUGGAACGGAAACACGGUCCAGACUCCUACGGGAGGCAGCAGUGGGGAAUAUUGGACAAUGGGCGCAAGCCUGAUCCAGCCAUACCGCGUGGGUGAAGAAGGCCUUCGGGUUGUAAAGCCCUUUUGUUGGGAAAAAAAAGCAGCAGGUUAAUACCCCGCUGUUCUGACGGUACCCAAAGAAUAAGCACCGGCUAACUUC